rnacentral:rRNA from 1 species
GAUGAACGCUGGCGGUAUGCUUAAUACAUGCAAGUCGUACGAGGGCUUUUAGCUCUAGUGGCGGACGGGUGAGUAACACGUGAGAAUCUGCCCUUAGGAGGAGGAUAACAGCUGGAAACGGUUGCUAAUACUCCAUAUGCCGAGAGGUGAAAGGAUUUAUCCGCCUUAGGAAAAGCUCGCGCCUGAUUAGCUAGUUGGUGAGGUAAUGGCUCACCAAGGCGACGAUCAGUAGCUGGUUUGAGAGGACGAUCAGCCACACUGGGACUGAGACACGGCCCAGACUCCUACGGGAGGCAGCAGUGGGGAAUUUUCCGCAAUGGGCGAAAGCCUGACGGAGCAAUACCGCGUGAGGGAUGAAUGCCUGUGGGUUGUAAACCUCUUUUUUCAAGAAAGAAGCUCUGACGUUACUUGAAGAAUAAGCAUCGGCUAACUCUGUGCCAGCAGCCGCGGUAAUACAGAGGAUGCAAGCGUUAUCCGGAAUUACUGGGCAUAAAGCGUCUGUAGGUGGUUUAGUAAGUCUGCUGUUAAAGACUGGGGCUUAACCCUAGGAAAGCAGUGGAAACUACUAGACUUGAGUGUGGUAGGGGUAGAGGGAAUUCCUAGUGUAGCGGUGAAAUGCGUAGAUAUUAGGAAGAACACCAAUGGCGAAAGCACUCUACUGGGCCAUAACUGACACUGAGAGACGACAGCUAGGGGAGCAAAUGGGAUUAGAUACCCCAGUAGUCCUAGCCGUAAACGAUGGAUACUAGAUGUUGCACGUAUUAACCCGUGCAGUAUCGUAGCUAAGGCGUUAAGUAUCCCGCCUGGGGAGUACGCUCGCAAGAGUG